GACGUAGGGUGCAAGCGUUGUCCGGAUUUAUUGGGCGUAAAGAGCGUGUAGGCGGCCAGGUAGGUCUGCUGUGAAAACUCGAGGCUUAACCUCGAGCUGUCGGCGGAAACCAUCUGGCUAGAGUCCGGAAGAGGAGAAUGGAAUUCCCGGUGUAGCGGUGAAAUGCGCAGAUAUCGGGAAGAACACCCGUGGCGAAGGCGGUUCUCUGGGACGGUACUGACGCUGAGACGCGAAAGCGUGGGGAGCGAACAGG
rnacentral:rRNA from 1 species